rnacentral:rRNA from 1 species
GGACAGAAAGACCCUAUGAAGCUUGACUGUAGUCUGGAAUUGAAUUCGGGCUUUUCUUGCGCAGCCUAGGUGGGAGGCGUUGAAGAUUUUCUUCCGGGAAAAUUGGAGCCAUCAGUGAGAGACCACUCUGGGAAGGCUAGAAUUCUAAUGGUGAUCCUUGAAUCAGGACACUUGAAAGUUUCAGAUGGGCAGUUUCUCUGGGGCGGAGACCUCCUAAAAGGUAACGGAGGUGCGCAAUGGUUCCCUCAGUCUGGACGGAAAUCAGACAUUGAGUGUAAAGGCAAAAGGGAGCUUGACUGUGAGACCUACAAGUCAAACAGGGGCGAAAGCCGGCCUUAGUGAUCCGACGGUGCUGUGUGGAAAGGCCGUCGCUCAACGGAUAAAAGUUACUCUAGGGAUAACAGGCUGA